rnacentral:rRNA from 1 species
AGAGUUUGAUCAUGGCUCAGGACGAACGCUGGCGGCGCGCCUAAUACAUGCAAGUCGAGCGAGAACCAGGACUUCGGUCCUGGGGAGAGCGGCGAACGGGUGCGUAUCACGUGAGCAACCUGCCUCGGAGACCGGAAUAACUCGAGGAAACUCGGGCUAAUGCCGGAUGCCCUCGGUGGACCGCAUGGUCCGGCGAGGAAAUGGAUUCCGCUCCGAGAUGGGCUCGCGGCCUAUCAGCUUGUUGGUGGGGUAACGGCCUACCAAGGCAACGACGGGUAGCUGGUCUGAGAGGACGAUCAGCCACACUGGGACUGAGACACGGCCCAGACUCCUACGGGAGGCAGCAGUAGGGAAUCUUGCGCAAUGGGGGAAACCCUGACGCAGCGACGCCGCGUGCGGGAUGAAGGCCUUCGGGUCGUAAACCGCUUUCAGCAGGGACGAAAUUGACGGUACCUGCAGAAGAAGGCCCGGCCAACUACGUGCCAGCAGCCGCGGUGAUACGUAGGGGUCUAGCGUUGUCCGGAAUUAUUGGGCGUAAAGAGCUCGUAGGCGGUUCGGCAAGUCGGAUGUGAAAUCUCCACGCUUAACGUGGAGGGGCCAUUCGAAACUGCCGUGACUCGAGUCCGGUAGGGGAGUUCGGAAUUCCCGGUGUAGCGGUGAAAUGCGCAGAUAUCGGGAGGAACACCAGUGGCGAAGGCGGAACUCUGGGCCGGAACUGACGCUGAGGAGCGAAAGCGUGGGGAGCGAACAGGAUUAGAUACCCUAGUAGUCC